UACGGGGGGGGCGAGCGUUGUUCGGAAUUACUGGGCGUAAAGGGCGCGUAGGCGGUUCGCUAAGUUGGAUGUGAAAACUCUGGGCUCAACCCAGAGCCUGCAUCCAAAACUGGCGGGCUAGAGUUCUGGAGGGGGUAGCGGAAUUCCUGGUGUAGCGGUGAAAUGCGUAGAUAUCAUGAGGAACACCGGUGGCGAAGGCGGCUACCUGGACAGAAACUGACGCUGAGGCGCGAAAGCUAGGGGAGCAAACAGG
rnacentral:rRNA from 1 species